UACGGAGGGGGCUAGCGUUGUUCGGAAUUACUGGGCGUAAAGCGCACGUAGGCGGCUUUGCAAGUUAGAGGUGAAAGCCCGGGGCUCAACUCCGGAAUUGCCUUUAAAACUGCAUCGCUAGAAUUGUGGAGAGGUAAGUGGAAUUCCGAGUGUAGAGGUGAAAUUCGUAGAUAUUCGGAAGAACACCAGUGGCGAAGGCGGCAUCCUGGACCGGCAUUGACGCUGAGGAGCGAAAGCUAGGGGAGCAAACGGG
rnacentral:rRNA from 1 species